UAAUGCUUGAAAUAUUUUAUUUAUCAAAACCAACAGACUGAUUUUUUUAAAUAAAACAACAGAAAAAGACAAUAAAUUAUUUAGGUAAAGCAUACAGUUUUGUCUUUAAUAUAUUUUGAAUGGAGCAACAGAGGUUGACUUUUGUUCGUUAAAACAGACAUCAACAGCUUUUCUCUGAGUUAAAACUACUUAGCCACCUGUUGAAAUUCUGGGAAGGGAAACUGAAACAAAUCUCUUUGAAAGGUACGAUACUCUCAAAUGUUCCCAAAGGCCCUCUGUUUGUGUUUGACCUAAGAAACUAGUUAAAGUUUUACGCUGAGAUACAUGAGAAAACAAAACAGCUACAUGGAAAAAAGAGCAUGUCACUGGUGCAUGCAACAGUGGAAUGUGCUGAUAACAGCAGCAAACUGGCAGACACAGGAUGCACACGCUCACACACACACACACACACACACACACACACACACACACACACACACACACACACACACACACACACGGGUGCACAACCACAGGUCCUGCUACGUUUAUAAUACAUCAAUUUGCAUGUAAAAACUAUUCCUUUAUUUUAUAUGCAUGGUCCAGAAACUGCAGCAGCCGAUGUCCUUAUGCACUCUAAAAAAACAAACCUCACUACUGUUGGUUUUAAAGAUUCUGCUUAAGUUGGAUUUAUUGGAGAAAGUUAACUUGAGUCCCUUGUGUUACUUCAACACAAUACUAUGCAUUUAAAAACGUUUUAGCCUAAAAUGUUGACCUGGCAAAACACAGCAUUUUGUUGAAAUAACAUAAAUGACUUGAGUCAUUGUGUGUUGACCACACAGCAUGAAGUUAACUUGCAGAAUGUGAUGUCUCUGAUAUGCUGAUUAGUGAUGGUGAUGACUCUAAGCAGAGUCAAUGAGAACCCAAUGAGAAGCGAUAAGAAAAACACUUUUCUGAGUGUACCAAAAGUCUAAUAAUGAAAUAACACAUAGAAAUUAAAAAAUAUUUAUUAGCGAUUCAGAGAUGAUUUGGCUUUUGUUUAAAAAAAAUCAUAAUUUACGUUUAGAUGUUUGUUCUGUAAAGUAUCUGUAGUCCCUUCUAGUCCCUUCUACAUACACCUGUACACUUUUCCAGCAGAGCGCCUCAGAAAUCUGUCAUUUUACCUAAACUUACCCAGAUUUGUCAUCUAUUAAUAAUAAUUCAGUGUUACAAUGUGAGCGUUUCAUUUAAUUUCUAGCUUUGCUGCUUUGACUCUCCAUUAAACCGACAGCUACACACACAUGCACACACAGUCACAUGCUGAGCAUUCACAUGCUUGGAUCCGCUGCCAGCUCUUACAGACUGUU
ensembl:lncRNA